ACAACGGCUCUUUUAAGAGCCACACACUUACAACCAAGAGCACUG
rfam:Oryzias latipes DNA, chromosome1, strain: Hd-rR.